GUGGCUGCACAGUUAAAAAAAAUGCAGAAAAGCUGCUUUAGGUUGAUAAAGUGGAUUGUUUCAUAAUGCAUUAAAAAAAAUACCUAUAGUGGGCAGUUGCCAACAAUGCAGCGAGCCAGGUAAGUGAGUAGUGUGGAAUUAUGAGUUUUAAAGAAAACACCUCUUGCCUUUUCUUUCAGUUCCUCUUAAACACAAGAGGCUUUUGUUUUCUCCACUCAACACCCUUCCCUUGCGAUGACACCAUAUCCUGUUUUUUUUUUUUUUUUUUUUUUUUUUUCCACCCAUUUAGGAGGAUUUAUAGUGUUUCCACACUUUUCUUCCAUUGUGACUCGAACCCAGGACCUACCGGUCGUGAGUGGAGGUGUUUAACCACUGAGCCAUCUUCACUUGUCUCACCAUAUCCUGUUGGUUCCUUCACCCAUUGACAAAAAUCAGGUACUUCUUGACAUGAAAUGACCUUUAAUUCAUCUAAAAUGGUUCGAAGAGCAGAAAAAAUGCACUAUCUCAACGACACCAUCUUUUUUCAGGGGUUCCUCAUAACUUGAGCUUUAUUUUCUUCAGUUGCGUUGAGGAAAAUGCAAUAUUUUUAGUUGGGGGUGGCAUUUGGGAGUACACUUUAUUUUCAUAUUUAUUCUUCACUUAUGCCCUUGUCGGGUUUAUGGUUAAUAUAUGGAUAUUGUGUGCCCUUACCAGGCUUAAAUUAUUGACGUAGUUGUGGAUUAGUCACUUUUGUUGUUUUGUUUUCUUUACUAGUUUCUUUAGUUUUGUUAGUUAAUUUUUUUUUUUAGGUUGUAGGAAGGGUGUUUGGAUGUGAUUUUUUGCCCCUUGGCUAAUUUUUACCUUGCUUGGUAUCAACUAAUUUAAACCUUAGCAUAUGAAUUCUUGAUUUUUGAAAAAGAAAAAUGAUUGAAGGAA